rnacentral:rRNA from 1 species
GGUAGUACCGCUAACGAGCGCAACCCCUAUUGUUAGUUGCCAUCAUUCAGUUGGGCACUCUAGCGAGACUGCCGGUAAUAAACCGGAGGAAGGUGGGAUGACGUCAAAUCAUCAUGCCCCUUAUGACCUGGGCUACACACGUGCUACAAUGGUUGGUACAACGAGUUGCGAGUCGGUGACGGCGAGCUAAUCUCUUAAAGCCAAUCUCAGUUCGGAUUGUAGGCUGCAACUCGCCUACAUGAAGUCGGAAUCGCUAGUAAUCGCGGAUCAGCACGCCGCGGUGAAUACGUUCCCGGGCCUU